GAUGAACGCUGGCGGCGUGCUUAACACAUGCAAGUCGAACGGGAAAUAUUUCAUUGAGACUUCGGUGGAUUUGAUUUAUUUCUAGUGGCGGACGGGUGAGUAACGCGUGGGUAACCUGCCUUAUACAGGGGGAUAACAGUCAGAAAUGGCUGCUAAUACCGCAUAAGCGCACAGAGCUGCAUGGCUCAGUGUGAAAAACUCCGGUGGUAUAAGAUGGACCCGCGUUGGAUUAGCUAGUUGGUGGGGUAACGGCCCACCAAGGCGACGAUCCAUAGCCGGCAUGAGAGGGUGAACGGCCACAUUGGGACUGAGACACGGCCCAGACUCCUACGGGAGGCAGCAGUGGGGAAUAUUGCACAAUGGGGGAAACCCUGAUGCAGCGACGCCGCGUGAAGGAAGAAGUAUCUCGGUAUGUAAACUUCUAUCAGCAGGGAAGAUAGUGACGGUACCUGACGAAGAAGCCCCGGCUAACUACGUG
rnacentral:rRNA from 1 species